AACGAACGCUGGCGGCAUGCCUAACACAUGCAAGUCGAACGAGACCUUCGGGUCUAGUGGCGCACGGGUGCGUAACGCGUGGGAAUCUGCCCUUGGGUUCGGAAUAACAGUUAGAAAUGACUGCUAAUACCGGAUGAUGUCUUCGGACCAAAGAUUUAUCGCCCAGGGAUGAGCCCGCGUCGGAUUAGCUAGUUGGUAGGGUAAAAGCCUACCAAGGCGACGAUCCGUAGCUGGUCUGAGAGGAUGAUCAGCCACACUGGGACUGAGACACGGCCCAGACUCCUACGGGAGGCAGCAGUGGGGAAUAUUGGACAAUGGGCGAAAGCCUGAUCCAGCAAUGCCGCGUGAGUGAUGAAGGCCUUAGGGUUGUAAAGCUCUUUUACCCGGGAUGAUAAUGACAGUACCGGGAGAAUAAGCCCCGGCUAACUCCGUGCCAGCCGCCGCCGUAAGAC
rnacentral:rRNA from 1 species